AUGUACACGAAUUCAGCUUAUCCUUUUCUUCACAAAGUCGCCGCGCGUAGCACCCACGUCUCAUCCGAUUGCGCACUCGCCAUUGUAACUCUGUCUUCUGAUUCAUUCGACUUAGGUCUUGAUGCCUCCCUUAUUUGGCUUCAGCUUCCACUUCAAGAGCUCAAACUUCACGAUUGUGCCCUUCACGUCUCCGCCACAAUUGAAGAAAUUUUGUUGUAG